UACGAAGGGGGCUAGCGUUGUUCGGAAUUACUGGGCGUAAAGCGCACGUAGGCGGAUAUUUAAGUCGGGGGUGAAAUCCCGGGGCUCAACCCCGGAACUGCCUUCGAUACUGGGUAUCUUGAGUUCGGAAGAGGUGAGUGGAAUUGCGAGUGUAGAGGUGAAAUUCGUAGAUAUUCGCAGGAACACCAGUGGCGAAGGCGGCUCACUGGUCCGAUACUGACGCUGAGGAGCGAAAGCGUGGGGAGCGAACAGG
rnacentral:rRNA from 1 species